rnacentral:rRNA from 1 species
GACGAACGCUGGCGGCGUGCUUAACACAUGCAAGUCGAACGGAAAGGCCCUGCUUUUGUGGGUUGCUCGAGAGGCGAACAGGUGAGUAACACGCGAGUAUACUGUCCUUGUCUUUGGGAUAACUUUAGGGAAAUGGGGCUAAUAUACCAUAGGAUCUCCUGCUGCAUGUUGGUGGAUGGAGAGUUUCGGCGGUUGUGGCUCGUCUCGAGGCUUAUCCGCUUGUUGGUGUGGUAGUGGCUUACAAAGGUUUUGACGGCUAGCCGACCUGGGAGGUGGAACGGCCACAUUGGGACUGAGAUACGGCCCAGACUCCUACGGUAGGCAGCAGUCGGGAAUAUUGCACAAUAGGCGGAAGCCUGAUGCAGCAACGCCGCGUUCGUGAUGACGUCCUUCGGGUGGUAAACCGCUUUCGCCGGUGACGAAGCGUGAGUGACGGUAAUGGGUAAAAAAGCACCGGCUAACUACGUG